rfam:Pseudogymnoascus pannorum VKM F-3557 contig_1035, whole genome shotgun sequence.
GCCUGGGUAGCUCAAUCGGUAGAGCGUGUGACUCUUACUUCCUUUCAAAGGCUAUAGAUCAUCUCAAGGUCGUGGGUUCGAGCCCCACCUCGGGCU